CUACAGCGGAUUAUGACGUCUGGCAUAUCUAAAAUAUCUUUAAUCACAAUAGUAUUCACGUUCACAAAUGUUUUGGGGAAAUAUGGUGCAAACAAUGAAUCCCUUGGGGGAGAUUGCGCAUAACAGUUGACUUCUCAAGUUAUCAUGAAAACAGACAAACAUAGCCAACAUGGUCCAUUAAUCACUCACUAUAACAGAUCAUACCAGUUAGCGCUAUGACAAUUCAGAUCACCAAUUCAAAGUACAUGCCAGAAUCUUGGUAUUUCAUUGUUGUAUACACAAUGAUAUCAUAUCAGACAUAAACAGAAUGUGCAGCAUUAAUGAUUAAUAAUUGUUUGGACCGAACCAACUUGUUGACAUUUUUUAAUCUAUCAGUUUAACUUUAUUUUCCUCAUAUUUACUUUUUAAGUGUGUUGUUGAUGUUGGAAUAGCAUUGCAGAUGAACCAAGUAUGAACAUUGAGGGAGAUGACAAAGGACCUUUUUUUCCCAGUAGGUGGAGCUUAAGAGUGUUCGGCAACAGAAUGUCAAUAGAAAAAUGCUUUUCGGAGACGGCCCUCACAGUGCCAAACCUCUAGGAGAUCAGCAAUGGUGUCUCUCUCUGCAGUCAUCCUUUUAUCUCUCUAUAUUGGUGAAACCUUGGAGGAUAGUAUAAAAUCUCUGGACUCUGUGAAGCAUGUUGCACAGGGAGGGAGUGCUACUCUCUCGUGCAGUUACAGUGGCUCUGUCAGGACAUUGCAGUGGUAUCGCCAAGGUCUCCAUUCUGAGCCACAGUUCCUUCAGUACAUCACCACAUCAGGGACGAAAUACCCUGAGCACGUUGAAAACCUGUCUGUGAGGGUUCUGAACAACAUCACACGCCUGGAACUGGACAUCUCCUCAGCUGAAAUGACUGACUCGGCGGUCUACUACUGUGCUCUGCAGCCCACAGUGACAGGAAAUCACACAUCUUUGAACAAAAACCUGAUACUGUAGGUCCCAAAGAAAUCAACAUGAGUAAAAGCAUUACAAGAGUAUUCAAGUAUAAAUAUGUCAAUACAAUUAUGUUUCUCUGGUUUUAUCCUACCCAUAUCCAUUAAUGUAAACUUUUAUUUAAUUUGACAUUCACUGCAUUCAUGUUUUUUCAAAUUUAUACAGAAAAGUGAAAUGUAAUUGCUACUUUGUGAAGAAACAUGGAUAACUUGGG